rnacentral:rRNA from 1 species
GAUGAACGCUGGCGGCGUGCCUAAUACAUGCAAGUCGAGCGAACAGACGAGGAGCUUGCUCCUCUGACGUUAGCGGCGGACGGGUGAGUAACACGUGGAUAACCUACCUAUAAGACUGGGAUAACUUCGGGAAACCGGAGCUAAUACCGGAUAAUAUAUUGAACCGCAUGGUUCAAUAGUGAAAGACGGUUUUGCUGUCACUUAUAGAUGGAUCCGCGCCGCAUUAGCUAGUUGGUAAGGUAACGGCUUACCAAGGCGACGAUGCGUAGCCGACCUGAGAGGGGGAUCGGCCACACUGGAACUGAGACACGGGCCAGACUCCUACGGGAGGCAGCAGUAGGGAAUCUUCCGCAAUGGGCGAAAGCCUGACGGAGCAACGCCGCGUGAGUGAUGAAGGUCUUCGGAUCGUAAAACUCUGUUAUUAGGGAAGAACAAAUGUGUAAGUAACUAUGCACGUCUUGACGGUACCUAAUCAGAAAGCCACGGCUAACUACGUG